rnacentral:rRNA from 1 species
CAACAGGGAUUGCCCUAGUAACGGCGAGUGAAGCGGCAACAGCUCAAAUUUGAAAUCUGGCCUCUUUUGGGGUCCGAGUUGUAAUUUGCAGAGGGCGCUUUGGCGUUGGCAGCGGUCCAAGUUCCUUGGAACAGGACGUCACAGAGGGUGAGAAUCCCGUACGUGGUCGCUGGCCUUCGCCGUGUAAAGCCCCUUCGACGAGUCGAGUUGUUUGGGAAUGCAGCUCUAAAUGGGAGGUAAAUUUCUUCUAAAGCUAAAUACUGGCCAGAGACCGAUAGCGCACAAGUAGAGUGAUCGAAAGAUGAAAAGCACUUUGGAAAGAGAGUCAAACAGCACGUGAAAUUGUUGAAAGGGAAGCGCUUGCAGCCAGACUUGCCUGUAGUUGCUCAUCCGGGCUUUUGCCCGGUGCACUCUUCUAUAGGCAGGCCAGCAUCAGUUUGGGCGGUUAGAUAAAGGUCUCUGUCAUGUAACUCUCUUCGGGGAGAACUUAUAGGGGAGGCGACAUGUAACCAGCCCAGAUUGAGGUCCGCGCAUUUGCUAGGAUGCUGGCGUAAUGGCUGUAAGCGGCCCGUCUUGAAACACGGACCAAGGAGUCUAACAUCUAUGCGAGUGUUUGGGUGUCAAGCCCGAGCGCGCAAUGAAAGUGAACGGAGGUGGGAACCCCUCGGGGUGCACCAUCGACCGAUCCUGAUGUCUUCGGAUGGAUUUGAGUAAGAGCAUAGCUGUUGGGACCCGAAAGAUGGUGAACUAUGCUUGAAUAGGGUGAAGCCAGAGGAAACUCUGGUGGAGGCUCGCAGCGGUUCUGACGUGCAAAUCGAUCGUCAAAUUUGGGCAUAGGGGCGAAAGACUAAUCGAACU